UGAGUACGAGCUGCUACGGCAGCGAAGUGGGUGACGUCAAGCUUCCAAGAAAAGCCCUAUACCCGUUAAGGCAUGAUGGCCUGUACCCGAAACCGACACAGGUGGGGUGGUAGAGAAUACCGAGGGGCACGAGAUAACUCUCUCUAAGGAACUCGGCAAAAUGGCCCCGUAACUUCGGGAGAAGGGGUGCCACCGCAAGGUGGUCGCAGUGAAGAGGCCCAGGCGACUGUUUACCAAAAACACAGGUCUCCGCUAAGUCGCAAGACGAUGUAUGGGGGCUGACGCCUGCCCAGUGCCGGAAGGUUAAGGAAGCUGGUCAGCGUAAGCGAAGCUAGCGACUGAAGCCCCGGUGAACGGCGGCCGUAACAAUAACGGUCCUAAGGUAGCGAAAUUCCUUGUCGGGUAAGUUCCGACCCGCACGAAAGGCGUAACGAUCUGGGCGCUGUCUCGGAGAGAGGCUCGGCGAAAUAGAAUUGUCUGUGAAGAUGCGGACUACGUGCACCCGGACAGAAAGACCCUAUGAAGCUUUACUGUAGCUUGGUAUUGUGCUCGGGCUCGGAAUGCGCAGGAUAGGUGGGAGGCUAUGAACCAUUGCUUGUGGGUGAUGGUGAGCCACUGGUGAGAUACCACUCUUUCCGAGCUAGAGUUCUAACAGCCACCCGUUAUCCGGGGGCUGGACAGUAUCAGGUGGGCAGUUUGACUGGGGCGGUCGCCUCCUAAAAGGUAACGGAGGCGCGCAAAGGUUUGCUCAGGCUGGUUGGAAAUCAGCCGACGAGUGUAAAAGCAGAAGCAAGCUUGACUGUGAGACCUACAAGUCGAACAGGGAGGAAACUCGGCUUUAGUGAUCCGACGGUUCUGCGUGGAAGGGCCGUCGCUCAACGGAUAAAAGUUACUCUAAGGAUAACAGGCUGAUCUCCCCCAAGAGUUCACAUCGACGGGGAGGUUUGGCACCUCGAUGUCGGCUCAUCGCAACCUGGGGCUGAAGUCGGUCCCAAGGGUUGGGCUGUUCGCCCAUUAAAGCGGUACGCGAGCUGGGUUCAGAACGUCGUGAGACAGUUCGGUCCAUAUCCGGUGCAUGCGCAGGAAUAUUGAGAGGAUUUCUCCCUAGUACGAGAGGACCGGGAGGAACGCACCUCUGGUGUACCAGUUAUCGUGCCAACGGUAAACGCUGGGUAGCCAUGUGCGGAGAGGAUAACCGCUGAAAGCAUCUAAGUGGGAAGCCCACCUCAAGAUGAGUAUUCCCAUGGGUUAACCCAGUAAGGUCACGGGAAGAACACCCGUUGAUAGGCUCUACGUGAAAGCGCAGUAAUGUGUGAAGCGGAGGAGUACUAAUAGACCGAGGGCUUGAC
rnacentral:rRNA from 1 species